rnacentral:lncRNA from 1 species
AUCCCACAACACCUGAAGAACUUCAAAUAACAUUAAUGUUUGGGCUAAGCACUUGCCAAUCCUGCUCUCCAGUGAAAAAAUUCAACUUACGUAGAGAUGAAACGUUUACCUGAAUGACUACAGGCCAGACCAGGAGCCAGGAGGUCAUUGGUAAUCUCAGGAAUGUUCCAACUAACAAAAAAUCCUCAAAGAUGUACAACUUAGCAGAGUGUGGUGGUGUACAUCUAUUAUCUCGACUAUUUAGGAGGCUGAGACAGGAGGAUUAUAAGGUUGAGCUCAGCCUGAGCAACUUAGCGAGAACCUGUCUCAAAAUAAAAGAGCAAAAAGGGCUGUAGAGGUAACUCAGUGGUAGAGCACCCCUGAGUCCAAUUCCUGGCACUGCAAAAACAAAACAAAACAACACCAAGCGAGGGGCUCUCACAGUGACUUGGCCACCUAUGGUGGCUUGGCUCCCUGUGGCUGGCAGAGGGACGACCUUGCUGAGGAAGCUGCCCUUUCCAGGGAGUGGUUUAGAAGGUGCUCAGAGACCAAGGCUUAAGGAAAGCCGCAGGGAGGUGAACUUCCAAUAGCAGGUGGCUUGUGGGGAAGCAGCUGGUUAAUGCACCCAGCUCGAGGCCACACAGCCCUUGCCAAUGUGGCGGCCGUGCUUUGGACGCGCAGCCGUGCCCGUUCGGGAGCCGUGGUGUUUGGACGGGCGGUGGCAGUGUGCACCGCGAGGUGCCCGAGCGACCCUCAGGCAUGCAGAGCCGCUGAGGGACAACGGCCGCCUUUCACCACAAUGGUGCCUGCCGGUGCCUGCUGCGGCGGGGAAGGGCCUUGGUGGCGGUGCAGCUGCGUCCAGCCAGCGUCCCUGUGCUGUGAGACCGCUGGGUCAGAGAGGAUGCCAGGAGGACGGGACGCAUGCUCAGAAGGAAGCCAGACUGCGCAAAGGCUCUCAGACCUGGAAGCCCUGAGGGCAGUGGCAGAGAAAAAUGUGCAAGCGAGCAGGUUACAGAUCGGUGGGGUACUGUGAACCUUUCUUCCACACACAGACCUGAAGCCUAGAUGACAUACUUUCCCAAAAAUGAGAUGUAAAAUACCACAGUUGGCUGCAGCGGCUGUGCGUGGCUGGGGGCUGUCAGGUGGGAACCGAAUCUCUGGUGUUCAGAGGUGAGGACAGGAGGUGAAGUCGCCGCUGAGCCUGUGACUCACCCUCGUGGCUUCACGGAGGAGGAAGAGUCCAGGGACACAGCCGGCUCCUCCACGCUGCCCGGUGCUGCCUCAGCCUCCCUCAGCCAGGUGCAGAGAGCUGGAGACCCAGCGGUGUAAAUGUCGUUUCUUUACAAGUUCCCAGCCCCUCGUGAUUCAGAAAAUGCACUGAGGCUUUGGCGCUGGAAGACACAGAGACUCGAGUAGGUUGGAAGUACUAAGACGACGCCUCUCCAAAGACCAAACCAAACCGCGCAGGCUGCAUUCUUGCCCCACAGAUAGUUUUACUGUUUCUACCAAACUGAAGGAAUGCUUAGUUCCUUUCUUGUACAGACUGUCUCAGAAAACAGGAGGCAAAACAAGCACAUAAACGUGGCCGGCUCAUUUUACGAGGCUAGGACAGGCCUGGCGUUUGAAAUUGGAGCCGCGCAGUGCGAAGCAAGAGAUUUGCCCAAUGCCGUCCCAGGCGAAGGCUGGCGCACAGCUUCCCCGUGAUGGCCUAGAGGCUGGGGCCUGCUGCUGCCCUUUGUCUUGCAGGACGCCUGUGGCCCUGCUCAGGCCUGGUGGCUGGACGGCUCCCAGGGGCUCGGCCUUCCGCCUCCCUGCUCCAAGGUCCUUGAGGGACUCCUCCCUGCUCUGGGUCUGCAGGGAGGGGCUCUGGAAGUUUCUGAGCAAAUCUGAGAGCAGGGUAGAUGUACACGGAAGAUGCGAAUCGGCACAGACCCUCAAGCGCUCCACACCCCGGUUCCCUCCUGCCCCUCCCGGGCCCUCCAGGGUCCCCCCCCACCUCUGUCCUCUGCUAAGGGACCCUGGAGUGGCGUCAUCAUCAGCUAGUGCCCUUUCUUCACUCCCUUUCUGACUUUACACUUCCUGUCCCAGGACACUGCCCGCCCCAUGCCCCGUGUGGCCCCCCCAUGAUUCUCCAGACCCAGAUGAUUUCUCAGAUUUGGCUUGACGUGGGGAGGCCGGGCUGGGUGUUUUGUAGGAAGUCCCUGCCGUGGGACUGGCGGCACUGGGGUGAGGGCCACAGAGGCAGAGCGCGUUCCCACCCACGACUUCCCGGUGCAGGCUGUGACCCCGAUGGUCACCAUGGACAUUGACCUCGGUCCCUGCUGGCUGGCAUCUGUCAGGUGUCCCACUGCGAGGUCCCCACGCCCUUUCCAGGCUGCGCUGCGGCAGCGGCCA